UACGGGGGGAGCAAGCGUUGUUCGGAUUUACUGGGCGUAAAGGGCGCGUAGGCGGUCAGCACAAGUCAGUUGUGAAAUCUCCGGGCUUAACCCGGAAAGGUCAACUGAUACUGUGCGACUAGAGUGCGGAAGGGGCAACUGGAAUUCUCGGUGUAGCGGUGAAAUGCGUAGAUAUCGAGAGGAACACCCGCGGCGAAGGCGGGUUGCUGGGCUGAUACUGACGCUGAGGCGCGAAAGCCAGGGGAGCGAACGGG
rnacentral:rRNA from 1 species